AGAGGGUUUUGAUUAUUGGUUUUUCUGUUUUAAGGGUUUCGAUUGAAUUGAUUUUUUGGGUUCAUGCUUGAUGUAUUUGUACGAUUAUUAUAUUUAUUUUUUUUGAUUUCAGUAACAAAUAUUUGGGUUUAUGUAUAUUUGUUUUUAGGGUUUUCUGUUCUUAGGGUUUGGACUAAUUGUUUAUUUUUGAAGUAAUCGAUGAUAGGGUUUCCAUUGUAGGGUUAAAUUGAUGUUAGGGUUAAUUUUAUUUCUAGGUUUUCUAUUUUUGUUCAUUGAUUUGUAGGGUUUUGUCUAUAUUCCAUCAUUGGGUUUUCAUAUGUUUAGUAAAUUGAUAUAGGGUUCUCUGUAUAUGUAUUGUAAUCCUUGUAUGUGUAUUCCCGUGUUUCGAGAAUUUUCACUCAUGACUUGCUUUAGCACUCACUAGUUGUCAGUAUAUUCAGAUGGUUUUUUAACAUCCACUAAACGACCAUUGCGAAGAACAGAUUUGUAAAUACAGCCAUGACCGUCCUUACCCAGUAUUUUCUGUUCAGAGAAAUUGUUGGUUGCUAGUUGGAGGUCUUUGUACUGAAUUCUUCGUACUUAAUGGGUUUUUCUAGUUUUGAUUCUUCUUCUUCUUUUUUCUUGGUGGGUUUGUUUUUUGUGGUGGAAUUUGAAGUUAAGAGGCAUUGCUCUUACUUGUGACACUAAUUAGUAAUUACUGGAAGGAAUCAACUUAUAAGUCUCCUUUACAUGAUAUAAGGGAUUGCUAGUACAAUGGGUGUGCAAAAGGACCAGUUGGAGGAAAUCCUAAGUGAUUCAAGCCCAUGACCUGUGUUGAUGGCACAAAGAAGACAACAACUGAAGCUCCACCAAAGAGAAAGUACAAAGCUAAAGUUGCUGCAUAUUAUGGAGGUGCAUCUGGAGCAAAUUCUCAACCUUGUGCCAGCAGAUCUAAGACACAAACAAGUGUUGCUCAAUCUUCCCAACCAGCUGCAACAUAUUCUGCAAACCAAAAGGUGUUAAGAGAAAGGCAGGUGAUGGAUCUUGUUCUCAGGCCACUUUCAGUCAGAAAAACACCGAUGUUGGAUCUGUUAACAACCAUAUUACUUUUACAGCUCCAGACCCAAAAGGAAAGAAGAAAGCUGGGAAAUAUAUGAAGCUUUAGAUCUGUCUCUUUUAUGUUUGUGUUUGUGAUGACUCGGUUUUUCUGUUUGUUAUGCGACUUAUAUUGAGACAAUUUCUGGAAUGUUAUGUACAUUUGUUAAAUAGACAGUCUUUAUUUAAAGUUGGCUGCAGUUACAUUUGUAGAUUUUUCA